UGGGUUAGGGGUUUAGAGUGUGUUAGGAAGGAUUAGGAACCAGGUAGGACAGUGGGUUAGGGGGUUUAGAGUGUGUUAGGAAGGAUUAGGAACCAGGUAGGACAGUGGGUUAGGGUUUAGAGUGUGUUAGGAAGGAUUAGGAACCAGGUAGGACAGUGGGUUAGGGGUUUUAGAGUGUGUUAGGAAGGAUUAGGAACCAGGUAGUACAGUGGGUUAGGGGUUUUAGAGUGUGUUAGGAAGGAUUAGGAACCAGGUAGGACAGUGGGUUAGGGGUUUAGAGUGUGUUAGGAAGGAUUAGGAACCAGGUAGGACAGUGGGUUAGGGGGUUUAGAGUGUGUUAGGAAGGAUUAGGAACCAGGUAGGACAGUGGGUUUGGGUUUAGAGUGUGUUAGGAAGGAUUAGGAACCAGGUAGGACAGUGGGUUAGGGGGUUUAGAGUGUGUUAGGAAGGAUUAGGAACCAGGUAGGACAGUGGGUUAGGGGUUUUAGAGUGUGUUAGGAAGGAUUAGGAACCAGGUAGGACAGUGGGUUAGGGUUUAGAGUGUGUUAGGAAGGAUUAGGAACCAGGUAGGACAGUGGGUUAGGGGGUUUAGAGUGUGUUAGGAAGGAUUAGGAACCAGGUAGGACAGUGGGUUAGGGGUUUUAGAGUGUGUUAGGAAGGAUUAGGAACCAGGUAGGACAGUGGGUUAGGGUUUAGAGUGUGUUAGGAAGGAUUAGGAACCAGGUAGGACAGUGGGAUAGGGGGUUUAGAGUGUGUUAGGAAGGAUUAGGAACCAGGUAGGACAGUG
rnacentral:lncRNA from 1 species